GACGAACGCUGGCGGCGUGCCUAAUACAUGCAAGUAGAACGCUGAAGGAGGAGCUUGCUUCUCUGGAUGAGUUGCGAACGGGUGAGUAACGCGUAGGUAACCUGCCUGGUAGCGGGGGAUAACUAUUGGAAACGAUAGCUAAUACCGCAUAAGAGUAGAUGUUGCAUGACAUUUGCUUAAAAGGUGCAAUUGCAUCACUACCAGAUGGACCUGCGUUGUAUUAGCUAGUUGGUGGGGUAACGGCUCACCAAGGCGACGAUACAUAGCCGACCUGAGAGGGUGAUCGGCUACACUGGGACUGAGACACGGCCCAGACUCCUACGGGAGGCAGCAGUAGGGAAUCUUCGGCAAUGGACGGAAGUCUGACCGAGCAACGCCGCGUGAGUGAAGAAGGUUUUCGGAUCGUAAAGCUCUGUUGUAAGAGAAGAACGAGUGUGAGAGUGGAAAGUUCACACUGUGACGGUAUCUUACCAGAAAGGGACGGCUAACUACGUG
rnacentral:rRNA from 1 species